CGGAUUGCAGGCUGCAACCCGCCUGUAUGAAGUUGGAAUCGCUAGUAAUCGCGGAUCAGCAUGCCGCGGUGAAUACGUUCCCGGGCCUUGUACACACCGCCCGUCACACCAUGAGAGUCGGGAACACCCGAAGUCCGUAGCCUAACCGCAAGGAGGGCGCGGCCGAAGGUGGGUUCGAUAAUUGGGGUGAAGUCGUAACAAGGUAGC
rnacentral:rRNA from 1 species